CGGUAAAACAUGAAAAUAUUUCAAACGUAUAAUAACAAUAUUUUUCUAAUUUAUUUUUUUAUUUCGAAGGAUGAUAAACAUGAUUAUUAAACUAUAGGAGACUGAGCUGUAUCCAACAAGUCACUUGAGACUACAUCGAUUUCCAUAUUGCCCCAAUGUUUAAAUAUGCAGUUUACCCAUGCGCAACUUUGUAUUUAAAUAGCCAGGACUGUGCUUUUAUAGCUCAGUACUUUAAAGCGGAGAGGUCGGUGAAACAUGAAAAUAUUUCAAACGUAUAAUAACAAUAUUUUUCUAAUUUAUUUUUUAUUUUUUUAGGAUAAUUAACGUGAUAAUUAAACUAUAGGAGACUGAGCUGUAUCCAACAAGUCACUUGAGACUACAUCGAUUUUCAUAUUGCCCCAAUGUUUAAAUAUGCAGUUUAGGCAUGCGCAACUUUGUAUAUUAAUAGCCAGGACAGUGCUUUUAUGGCUUAGUCUGUUAUUGCCUUUAGGAGCGGGGAGAUCGGUGAAAAAUGUAAAUAUUUCAAAAGUUUAAUUUCAAUAUUUUUCUAAUUUAUUUUUUAUUUCGAAGGAUAAUAAACGUGAUUAUUAAACUAUAGGAGAUUGAGCUGUAUCCAACAAGUCACUUGAGACUACAUCGAUUUUCAUAUUGCCCCAAUGUUUAAAUAUGAAGUUUACGCAUGCGCAACUUUGUAUAUUAAUAGCCAGGACUGUGAUUUUAUAGCUUGGUCUGUUAUUGACCUUUAAAGCGGAGAGGUCGGUAAAACAUGAAAAUAUUUCAAACGUAUAAUAACAAUAUUUUUCUAAUUUAUUUUUAAUUUCGAAGGAUGAUAAACAUGAUAAUUAAACUAUAGGAUACUGAGCUGUAUCCAACAAGUCACUUGAGACUACAUCGAUUUCCAUAUUGCCCUAAUGUUUAAAUAUGCAGUUUACGCAUGCGCAACUUUGUAUUUAAAUAGCCAGGACUGUGCUUUUAUAGCUCAGUACUUUUAAGCGGAGAGGUCGUUGAAACAUGAAAAUAUUUCAAAUGUAUAAUAACAAUAUUUUUCUAAUUUAUUUUUUAUUUUUUUAGGAUAAUUAACGUGAUUAUUAAACUAUAGGAGACUUAGCUGUAUCUAACAAGUCACUUUUGACUACAUCUAUUAUCAUAUUUCCCCAAUGUUUAAAUAUGCAGUUUACGCAUGCGCAACCUUGUAUAUUAAUAGCCAGUACUGUGAUUUUAUAGCUCAGUACUUUAAAGCGGAGAGGUCGGUGAAACAUGAAAAUAUUUCAAACGUAUAAUAACAAUAUUUUUCUAAUUUAUUUUUUAUUUUUUUAGGAUUAUUAACGUGAUUAUUAAAUUAUAGUAGACUGAGCUGUAUCCAACAAGUCACUAUUGACUACAUCGAUUUUCAUAUUGCCCCAAUGUUUAAAUAUGCAGUUUACGCAUGCGCACCUUUGUAUAUUAAUAGCCAGGAUAGUGCUUUAUGGCUUAGUCUUUUAUUGCCUUUAGGAGCGCGGAGAUCGGUGAAAAAUGUAAAUAUUUCAAAAGUUUAAUUUCAAUAUUUUUCUAAUUUAUUUUUUAUUUCGAAGGAUAAUAAACGUGAUUAUUAAACUAUAGGAGACUGAGCUGUAUCCAACAAGUCACUUGAGACUACAUCGAUUUUCAUAUUGCCCCAAUGUUUAAAUAUGCAGUUUACGUAUGCGCAACCUUGUAUAUUAAUAGCCAGGACUGUGAUUUUAUAGCUUGGUCUGUUUUUGCUCUUCGAAGCGAAGAGGUCGGUAAAUCAUGAAAAUAUCCAAGAAAUUUUAUUUCAAAAUUUUUAUGAUUUACUUUUUUUUUAAAAGGAUAAUUAACGUGAUUAUUGAACUAUGGGAGACUAAGCAUUAUUUGACAAGUCACUUCAGACUACAUCGAUUUCCAUAUUGCCACAAUGUUUAAAUAUGCAGUUUACGCAUGCGCAACUUUGUAUAUUAAUAGCCAGGACUGUGAUUUUAUAGCUUGGUCUGUUAUUGACCUUUAAAGCGGAGAGGUCGGUAAAAUAUGAAAAUAUUUCAAACGUAUAAUAACAAUAUUUUUCUAAUUUAUUUUUUAUUUCGAUGGAUGAUAAACAUGAUUAUUAAACUAUAGGAUACUGAGCUGUAUCCAACAAGUCACUUGAGACUACAUCGAUUUUCAUAUUGCCCCAAUGUUUAAAUAUGCAGUUUAGGCAUGCACAACUUUGUAUAUCAAUAGCCAGGAUAGUGCUUUUAUGGCUUAGUCUGUUAUUGCCUUUAGGAGCGCGGAGAUCGGUGAAACAUGGAAAUAUUUCAAAAGUUUAAUUUCAAUAUUUUUCUAAUAAAUUUUUUAUUUUUUUAGGAUAAUAAACGUGAUUAUUAAACUAUAGGAGACUGAGCUGUAUCCAACAAGUCACUUGAGACUACAUCGAUUUUCAUAUUGCCCCAAUGUUUAAAUAUGCAGUUUACGCAUGCGCAACUUUGUAUAUUAAUAGCCAGGACUGUCAUUUUAUACCCAGAUAACAGCACGUGCUCCCAGAUAUAGCUUGGUCUGUUUUUGCCCUUCAAAGCGAAGAGGAUAAUUAACGUGAUUGUUGAACUAUAGGAGACUAAGCAUUAAUUGACAAGUCACUUCAGACUAUAUCGAUUUCCAUAUUGCCCCAAUGUUUAAAUAUGCAGUUUACGCAUGCGCAACUUUGUAUAUUAAUAGCCAGGAUAGUGCUUUUAUGGCUUAGUCUUUUAUUGCCUUUAGGAGCGCGGAGAUCGGUGAAAAAUGUAAAUAUUUCAAAAGUUUAAUUUCAAUAUUUUUCUAAUUUAUUUUUUAUUUCGAAGGAUAAUAAACGUGAUUAUUAAACUAUAGGAGACUGAGCUGUAUCCAACAAGUCACUUUUGACUACAUCGAUUAUCAUAUUGCCCCAAUGUUUAAAUAUGCAGUUUACGCAUGCGCAACUUUAUAUAUUAAUAGCCAGGACUGUGAUUUUAUAGCUUGGUCUGUUUUUGCGCUUCGAAGCGAAGAGGUCGGUAAAUCAUGAAAAUAUCUAAGAAAUUUUGAUUCAAUAUUUUUUUAAUUUACUUUUUUUUAAAAGGAUAAUUAACGUGAUUAUUGAACUAUAGGAGACUAAGCAUUAAUUGACAAGUCACUUCAGACUACAUCGAUUUCCAUAUUGCCCCAAUGUUUAAAUAUGAAGUUUACGCAUGCGCAACUUUGUAUAUUAAUAGCCAGGACUGUGAUUUUAUAGCUUGGUCUCUUAUUGACCUUUAGAGCGGAGAGGUCGGUAAAACAUGAAAAUAUUUCAAACGUAUAAUAACAAUAUUUUUCUAAUUUAUUUUUUAUUUCGAAGGAUGAUAAACAUGAUUAUUAAACUAUAGGAUACUGAGCUGUAUCCAACAAGUCACUUGAGACUACAUCGAUUUCCAUAUUGCCCUAAUAUUUAAAUAUGCAGUUUACGCAUGCGCAACUUUGUAUUUAAAUAGCCAGGACUGUGCUUUUAUAUCCAGAUAACAGCACGUGCUCCCAGAUAUAGCUUGGUCUGUUUUUGCCCUUCGAAGCGAAGAGGUCGGUAAAUCAUGAAAAUAUCCAAGAAAUUUUAUUUCAAUAUUUUUUUAAUUUAAUUUUUUUUUUAAAGGAUAAUUAACGUGAUUGUUGAACUAUAGGAGACUAAGCAUUAAUUGACAAGUCACUUCAGACUAUAUCGAUUUCCAUAUUGCCCCAAUGUUUAAAUAUGCAGUUUACGCAUGCGCAACUUUGUAUAUUAAUAGCCAGGACUGUGAUUUUAUAGCUUGGUCUGUUAUUGACCUUUAAAGCGGAGAGGUUUGGUAAAACAUGAAAAUAUUUCAAACGUAUAAUAACAAUAUUUUUCUAAUAUAUUUUUUAUUAUUUUAGGAUAAUUAACGUGAUUAUUAAACUAUAGGAAACUGAGCUGUAUCCAACAAGUCACUAUUGACUACAUCGAUUUUCAUAUUGCCCCAAUGUUUAAAUAUGCAGUUUACGCAUGCGCAACUUUGUAUAUUAAUAGCCAGGAUAGUGCUUUUAUGGCUUAGUCUUUUAUUGCCUUUAGGAGCGCGGAGAUCGGUGAAAAAUGUAAAUAUUUCAAAAGUUUAAUUUCAAUAUUUUUCUAAUUUAUUUUUUAUUUCGAAGGAUAAUAAACGUGAUUAUUAAACUAUAGGAGACUGAGCUGUAUCCAACAAGUCACUUGAGACUACAUCGAUUUUCAUAUUGCCCCAAUGUUUAAAUAUGCAGUUUACGCAUGCGCAACCUUGUAUAUUAAUAGCCAGGACUGUGAUUUUAUAGCUUGGUCUGUUUUUGCUCUUCGAAGCGAAGAGGUCGGUAAAUCGUGAAAAUAUCCAAGAAAUUUUAUUUCAAAAUUUUUUUGAUUUACUUUUUUUUUAAAAGGAUAAUUAACGUGAUUGUUGAACUAUAGGAGACUAAGCAUUAAUUGAUAAGUCACUUCAGACUAUAUCGAUUUCCAUAUUGCCCCAAUGUUUAAAUAUGCAGUUUACGCAUGCGCAACUUUGUAUAUUAAUAGCCAGGACUGUGAUUUUAUAGCUUGGUCUGUUAUUGACCUUUAAAGCGGAGAGGUCGGUAAAACAUGAAAAUAUUUCAAACGUAUAAUAACAAUAUUUUUCUAAUUUAUUUUUUAUUUCGAUGGAUAAUAAACAUGAUUAUUAAACUAUAGGAUACUGAGCUGUAUCCAACAAGUCACUUGAGACUACAUCGAUUUUCAUAUUGCCCCAAAGUUUAAAUAUGCAGUUUAGGCAUGCACAACUUUGUAUAUCAAUAGCCAGGAUAGUGCUUUUAUGGCUUAGUCUGUUAUUGCCUUUAGGAGCGCGGAGAUCGGUGAAACAUGGAAAUAUUUCAAAAGUUUAAUUUCAAUAUUUUUCUAAUAAAUUUUUUAUUUUUUUAGGAUAAUAAACGUGAUUAUUAAACUAUAGGAGACUGAGCUGUAUCCAACAAGUCACUUGAGACUACAUCGAUUUUCAUAUUGCCCCAAUGUUUAAAUAUGCAGUUUACGCAUGCGCAACUUUGUAUAUUAAUAGCCAGGACUGUCAUUUUAUACCCAGAUAACAGCACGUGCUCCCAGAUAUAGCUUGGUCUGUUUUUGCCCUUCAAAGCGAAGAGGAUAAUUAACGUGAUUGUUGAACUAUAGGAGACUAAGCAUUAAUUGACAAGUCACUUCAGACUAUAUCGAUUUCCAUAUUGCCCCAAUGUUUAAAUAUGCAGUUUACGCAUGCGCAACUUUGUAUAUUAAUAGCCAGGAUAGUGCUUUUAUGGCUUAGUCUUUUAUUGCCUUUAGGAGCGCGGAGAUCGGUGAAAAAUGUAAAUAUUUCAAAAGUUUAAUUUCAAUAUUUUUCUAAUUUAUUUUUUAUUUCGAAGGAUAAUAAACGUGAUUAUUAAACUAUAGGAGACUGAGCUGUAUCCAACAAGUCACUUUUGACUACAUCGAUUAUCAUAUUGCCCCAAUGUUUAAAUAUGCAGUUUACGCAUGCGCAACUUUAUAUAUUAAUAGCCAGGACUGUGAUUUUAUAGCUUGGUCUGUUUUUGCGCUUCGAAGCGAAGAGGUCGGUAAAUCAUGAAAAUAUCUAAGAAAUUUUGAUUCAAUAUUUUUUUAAUUUACUUUUUUUUAAAAGGAUAAUUAACGUGAUUAUUGAACUAUGGGAGACUAAGCAUUAAUUGACAAGUCACUUCAGACUACAUCGAUUUCCAUAUUGCCCCAAUGUUUAAAUAUGAAGUUUACGCAUGCGCAACUUUGUAUAUUAAUAGCCAGGACUGUGAUUUUAUAGCUUGGUCUCUUAUUGACCUUUAGAGCGGAGAGGUCGGUAAAACAUGAAAAUAUUUCAAACGUAUAAUAACAAUAUUUUUCUAAUUUAUUUUUUAUUUCGAAGGAUGAUAAACAUGAUUAUUAAACUAUAGGAUACUGAGCUGUAUCCAACAAGUCACUUGAGACUACAUCGAUUUCCAUAUUGCCCUAAUAUUUAAAUAUGCAGUUUACGCAUGCGCAACUUUGUAUUUAAAUAGCCAGGACUGUGCUUUUAUAUCCAGAUAACAGCACGUGCUCCCAGAUAUAGCUUGGUCUGUUUUUGCCCUUCGAAGCGAAGAGGUCGGUAAAUCAUGAAAAUAUCCAAGAAAUUUUAUUUCAAUAUUUUUUUAAUUUAAUUUUUUUUUUAAAGGAUAAUUAACGUGAUUGUUGAACUAUAGGAGACUAAGCAUUAAUUGACGAGUCACUUCAGACUAUAUCGAUUUCCAUAUUGCCCCAAUGUUUAAAUAUGCAGUUUACGCAUGCGCAACUUUGUAUAUUAAUAGCCAGGACUGUGAUUUUAUAGCUUGGUCUGUUAUUGACCUUUAAAGCGGAGAGGUUUGGUAAAACAUGAAAAUAUUUCAAACGUAUAAUAACAAUAUUUUUCUAAUAUAUUUUUUAUUAUUUUAGGAUAAUUAACGUGAUUAUUAAACUAUAGGAAACUGAGCUGUAUCCAACAAGUCACUAUUGACUACAUCGAUUUUCAUAUUGCCCCAAUGUUUAAAUAUGCAGUUUACGCAUGCGCAACUUUGUAUAUUAAUAGCCAGGAUAGUGCUUUUAUGGCUUAGUCUUUUAUUGCCUUUAGGAGCGCGGAGAUCGGUGAAAAAUGUAAAUAUUUCAAAAGUUUAAUUUCAAUAUUUUUCUAAUUUAUUUUUUAUUUCGAAGGAUAAUAAACGUGAUUAUUAAACUAUAGGAGACUGAGCUGUAUCCAACAAGUCACUUGAGACUACAUCGAUUUUCAUAUUGCCCCAAUGUUUAAAUAUGCAGUUUACGCAUGCGCAACCUUGUAUAUUAAUAGCCAGGACUGUGAUUUUAUAGCUUGGUCUGUUUUUGCUCUUCGAAGCGAAGAGGUCGGUAAAUCGUGAAAAUAUCCAAGAAAUUUUAUUUCAAAAUUUUUUUGAUUUACUUUUUUUUUAAAAGGAUAAUUAACGUGAUUGUUGAACUAUAGGAGACUAAGCAUUAAUUGACAAGUCACUUCAGACUAUAUCGAUUUCCAUAUUGCCCCAAUGUUUAAAUAUGCAGUUUACGCAUGCGCAACUUUGUAUAUUAAUAGCCAGGACUGUGAUUUUAUAGCUUGGUCUGUUAUUGACCUUUAAAGCGGAGAGGUCGGUAAAACAUGAAAAUAUUUCAAACGUAUAAUAACAAUAUUUUUCUAAUUUAUUUUUUAUUUCGAUGGAUAAUAAACAUGAUUAUUAAACUAUAGGAUACUGAGCUGUAUCCAACAAGUCACUUGAGACUACAUCGAUUUUCAUAUUGCCCCAAAGUUUAAAUAUGCAGUUUAGGCAUGCACAACUUUGUAUAUCAAUAGCCAGGAUAGUGCUUUUAUGGCUUAGUCUGUUAUUGCCUUUAGGAGCGCGGAGAUCGGUGAAACAUGGAAAUAUUUCAAAAGUUUAAUUUCAAUAUUUUUCUAAUAAAUUUUUUAUUUUUUUAGGAUAAUAAACGUGAUUAUUAAACUAUAGGAGACUGAGCUGUAUCCAACAAGUCACUUGAGACUACAUCGAUUUUCAUAUUGCCCCAAUGUUUAAAUAUGCAGUUUACGCAUGCGCAACUUUGUAUAUUAAUAGCCAGGACUGUCAUUUUAUACCCAGAUAACAGCACGUGCUCCCAGAUAUAGCUUGGUCUGUUUUUGCCCUUCAAAGCGAAGAGGUCGGUAAAUCAUGAAAAUAUCCAAGAAAUUUUAUUUCAAUAUUUUUUUAAUUUAAUUUUUUUUUAAAGGAUAAUUAACGUGAUUGUUGAACUAUAGGAGACUAAGCAUUAAUUGACAAGUCACUUCAGACUAUAUCGAUUUCCAUAUUGCCCCAAUGUUUAAAUAUGCAGUUUACGCAUGCGCAACUUUGUAUAUUAAUAGCCAGGAUAGUGCUUUUAUGGCUUAGUCUUUUAUUGCCUUUAGGAGCGCGGAGAUCGGUGAAAAAUGUAAAUAUUUCAAAAGUUUAAUUUCAAUAUUUUUCUAAUUUAUUUUUUAUUUCGAAGGAUAAUAAACGUGAUUAUUAAACUAUAGGAGACUGAGCUGUAUCCAACAAGUCACUUGAGACUACAUCGAUUUUCAUAUUGCCCCAAUGUUUAAAUAUGCAGUUUACGCAUGCGCAACUUUGUAUAUUAAUAGCCAGGACUGUCAUUUUAUACCCAGAUAACAGCACGUGCUCCCAGAUAUAGCUUGGUCUGUUUUUGCCCUUCAAAGCGAAGAGGUCGGUAAAUCAUGAAAAUAUCCAAGAAAUUUUAUUUCAAUAUUUUUUUAAUUUAAUUUUUUUUUAAAGGAUAAUUAACGUGAUUGUUGAACUAUAGGAGACUAAGCAUUAAUUGACAAGUCACUUUUGACUACAUCGAUUAUCAUAUUGCCCCAAUGUUUAAAUAUGCAGUUUACGCAUGCGCAACUUUAUAUAUUAAUAGCCAGGACUGUGAUUUUAUAGCUUGGUCUGUUUUUGCGCUUCGAAGCGAAGAGGUCGGUAAAUCAUGAAAAUAUCCAAGAAAUUUUAAUUCAAAAUUUUUUUAAUUUACUUUUUUUUAAAAGGAUAAUUAACGUGAUUGAUGAACUAUAGGAGACUAAGCAUUAAUUGACAAGUCACUUCAGACUACAUCGAUUUCCAUAUUACCCCAAUGUUUAAAUAUGCAGUUUACGCAUGCGCAACCUUGUAUAUUAAUAGCCACGACUGUGAUUUUAUAGCUUGGUCUCUUAUUGACCUUUAGAGCGGAGAGGUCGGUAAAACAUGAAAAUAUUUCAAACGUAUAAUAACAAUAUUUUUCUAAUUUAUUUUUUAUUUCGAAGGAUGAUAAACAUGAUUAUUAAACUAUAGGAUACUGAGCUGUAUCCAACAAGUCACUUGAGACUACAUCGAUUUCCAUAUUGCCCUAAUAUUUAAAUAUGCAGUUUACGCAUGCGCAACUUUGUAUUUAAAUAGCCAGGACUGUGCUUUUAUAGCUCAGUACUUUAAAGCGGAGAGGUCGUUGAAACAUGAAAAUAUUUCAAAUGUAUAAUAACAAUAUUUUUCUAAUUUAUUUUUUAUUUCGAAGGAUGAUAAACAUGAUUAUUAAACUAUAGGAUACUGAGCUGUAUCCAACAAGUCACUUGAGACUACAUCGAUUUCCAUAUUGCCCUAAUGUUUAAAUAUGCAGUUUACGCAUGCGCAACUUUGUAUUUAAAUAGCCAGGACUGUGCUUUUAUAGCUCAGUACUUUAAAGCGGAGAGGUCGUUGAAACAUGAAAAUAUUUCAAAUGUAUAAUAACAAUAUUUUUCUAAUUUAUUUUUUAUUUUUUUAGGAUAAUUAACGUGAUUAUUAAACUAUAGGAGACUUAGCUGUAUCCAACAAGUCACUUUUGACUACAUCUAUUAUCAUAUUGCCCCAAUGUUUAAAUAUGCAGUUUACGCAUGCGCAACCUUGUAUAUUAAUAGCCAGGACUGUAAUUUUAUAGCUUGGUCUGUUUUUGCUCUUCGAAGCGAAGAGGUCGGUAAAUCAUGAAAAUAUCCAAGAAAUUUUAAUUCAAAAUUUUUUUAAUUUACUUUUUUUUAAAAGGAUAAUUAACGUGAUUGAUGAACUAUAGGAGACUAAGCAUUAAUUGACAAGUCACUUCAGACUACAUCGAUUUCCAUAUUACCCCAAUGUUUAAAUAUGCAGUUUACGCAUGCGCAACCUUGUAUAUUAAUAGCCACGACUGUGAUUUUAUAGCUUGGUCUGUUUUUGCUCUUCGAAGCGAAGAGGUCGGUAAAUCAUGAAAAUAUCCAAGAAAUUUUAUUUCAAAAUUUUUUUAAUUUACUUUUUUUUUAAAAGGAUAAUUAACGUGAUUAUUGAACUAUAGGAGACUAAGCAUUAUUUGACAAGUCACUUCAGACUACAUCGAUUUCCAUAUUGCCAGAAUGUUUUAAUAUGCAGUUUACGCAUGCGCAACUUUGUAUAUUAAUAGCCAAGACUGUGAUUUUAUAGCUUGGUCUGUUAUUGACCUUUAAAGCGGAGAGGUCGGUAAAACAUGAAAAUAUUUCAAACGUAUAAUAACAAUAUUUUUCUAAUUUAUUUUUUAUUUCGAAGGAUGAUAAACAUGAUUAUUAAACUAUAGGAUACUGAGCUGUAUCCAACAAGUCACUUGAGACUACAUCGAUUUUCAUAUUGCCCCAAUGUUUAAAUAUGCAGUUUAGGCAUGCGCAACUUUGUAUAUCAAUAGCCAGGAUAGUGCUUUUAUGGCUUAGUCUGUUAUUGCCUUUAGGAGCGCGGAGAUCGGUGAAACAUGGAAAUAUUUCAAAAGUUUAAUUUCAAUAUUUUUCUAAUAAAUUUUUUAUUUUUUUAGGAUAAUAAACGUGAUUAUUAAACUAUAGGAGACUGAGCUGUAUCCAACAAGUCACUUGAGACUACAUCGAUUUUCAUAUUGCCCCAAUGUUUAAAUAUGCAGUUUACGCAUGCGCAACUUUGUAUAUUAAUAGCCAGGACUGUCAUUUUAUACCCAGAUAACAGCACGUGCUCCCAGAUAUAGCUUGGUCUGUUUUUGCCCUUCAAAGCGAAGAGGAUAAUUAACGUGAUUGUUGAACUAUAGGAGACUAAGCAUUAAUUGACAAGUCACUUCAGACUAUAUCGAUUUCCAUAUUGCCCCAAUGUUUAAAUAUGCAGUUUACGCAUGCGCAACUUUAUAUAUUAAUAGCCAGGACUGUGAUUUUAUAGCUUGGUCUGUUAUUGACCUUUAAAGCGGAGAGGUUUGGUAAAAUAUGAAAAUAUUUCAAACGUAUAAUAACAAUAUUUUUCUAAUAUAUUUUUUAUUAUUUUAGGAUAAUUAACGUGAUUAUUAAACUAUAGGAGACUUAGCUGUAUCCAACAAGUCACUUGAGACUACAUCGAUUUUCAUAUUGCCCCAAUGUUUAAAUAUGCAGUUUCGGCAUGCGCAACUUUGUAUAUUAAUAGCCAGGAACGUGCUUUUAUGGCUUAGUCUUUUAUUGCCUUUAGGAGCGCGGAGAUCGGUGAAAAAUGUAAAUAUUUCAAAAGUUUAAUUUCAAUAUUUUUCUAAUUUAUUUUUUAUUUCGAAGGAUAAUAAACGUGAUUAUUAAACUAUAGGAGACUGAGCUGUAUCCAACAAGUCACUUGAGACUACAUCGAUUUUCAUAUUGCCCCAAUGUUUAAAUAUGCAGUUUACGCAUGCGCAACCUUGUAUAUUAAUAGCCAGGACUGUGAUUUUAUAGCUUGGUCUGUUUUUGCUCUUCGAAGCGAAGAGGUCGGUAAAUCAUGAAAAUAUCCAAGAAAUUUUAUUUCAAAAUUUUUUUAAUUUACUUUUUUUUAAAAGGAUAAUUAACGUGAUUAUU